rnacentral:misc_RNA from 1 species
UGCCAUGUUAGUGGUACCACGUUGAGGAAAAAAGAUGUUAAUUUAGAAGGUUCUGAAUCACAACAUUCACUUACUCUUGCUGUUAAUUUAAAAAAUAAUGAAAAUUAAGUAAAACAGAGUCUCGUAGCUCAGCUGGUUAGAGUACUACACUGAUAAUGUAGGGGUCGGCAGUUCGAGUCUGCCCGGGACUACUUUUUUAGAGUUUAGAGUUAUAAAUUAUGAAUUAUAAGUUAUAAUAAAAAAACAACAAACUAAAAAAGACUGAAAUACUUAAGAUAAAGGAAAUUUUAGAAGUUGAGCGUUUAUGAGAGAAUUCAUAACUCAUAAUUCAUAACUCAUCAUUUAAAAAUGGGGGAUUAGCUCAGCUGGCUAGAGCGCCUGCCUUGCACGCAGGAGGUCAACGGUUCGACUCCGUUAUUCUCCACAAAGCCGAAAGCUAUAAGCUUUAGGCGGUAAGCUAAGAAAGCUUAAAGCGUAUUGCUUAAAGCCUACAGCUAAUAAAGUUCAUUGACAUAUUGAGAUAAGAAAAUAAUAAAAAGUAGAAAGCGUUUUUUACAAUUUAUUGUAAAAGACAAAAAAAAACGGUCUUAAUUAAUUUUAAGAUUGGUACAAUAAGCAAAAUAAGGGCGUAUGGGGGAUGCCUAGA